UUUAGAUCACAGCAAAAAUUGUUUUUAAUUGGAACAAUACAGAGAAGAUUAGCAUGGCCCCUGCACAAGAAUGACACGCAAAUUCAUGGUGCGUUCCAUAUUUUU